rnacentral:rRNA from 1 species
UGGGGAAUAUUGGGGCAAUGGGGCGAAAGCCUGACCCAGCAACGCCGCGUGGAGGAAGAAGGUUUUCGGAUCGUAAACCCCUGUCCUCAGGGAAGAGAAGGAGACGGUACCUGAGGAGGAAGCCCCGGCUAACUACGUGCCAGCAGCCGCGGUAAUACGUAGGGGGCAAGCGUUAUCCGGAUUUACUGGGUGUAAAGGGAGCGUAGACGGCAAAGCAAGUCUGAAGUGAAAGCCCCGGGCUCAACCCGGGACUGCUUUGGAAACUGUUUAGCUAGAGUGCAGGAGAGGUAAGUGGAAUUCCUAGUGUAGCGGUGAAAUGCGUAGAUAUUAGGAGGAACACCAGUGGCGAAGGCGGCUUACUGGACUGUAACUGACGUUGAGGCUCGAAAGCGUGGGGAGCAAACAGGAUUAGAUA